rnacentral:tRNA from 1 species
AGUUGAUUAGUUUAAGUAAACAAAGGCUUUGUAAGUCUAAAAUCUAAAUAUUGAAAA